ensembl:lncRNA
CAGGUCUGAUGGGAGGCUGUGUGUGUGUGUGUGUGCGUGUGUGUGUGUGUGUGUGUGUGUGUGUGUGUGUGUGUGUGUGUGUGUGUGUGUGUGUGUGUGUGUGGGUUGGUGUGUCCGUGUGUGUGUGUGUGUGUGUGUGAGAGAGAGAGAGAGAGACAAACAAACAGAGAGAGAGAACGAGGGCGAGGGAGGGAGGGAGGGAGGGAAGUAAAAGAGGCGGGGUGUUUCUAGUCGGACUGACUGACAGACCUGUCAACCAGGUGGCACACAGACACUCACACGCUCAGAGGGUGGAACACUCGGUCCACACGCACAGCUCCAGCUCUCUCUCGCUCUCUCUCUCUCUCUCCGCUCUGGAAUGGGACUGUAGCUCGCCCUUUGGACGCUCUCGCUCAGACCUCAGGGCCUCCUGCCGGACGCCUGUCGCGGACCCCCCCCCCCCCGCCCGGCCAGAUUUCGGCCGCUCGCGGAGGCUAAGCAGACAGUGUCAGGAAGCAGAGGGCGGGGCCUGGGAGCCCAGAGAGCAGCGGCCAGCGGGGAGACGGACAGACAUGAGGCGCUACGGCUCGCCUGGACGGGGCUCCACCACCACCACGGAGGAAGGGUCGCCCCCCGGAGAGAGGAGAAUCCGACGUCUGCGACUCACACUACAUGCUGUCGACGAUGAAACCGAGUCCAAAACUACAAACCCUCUUAGGACCAUCGGGUGGUCCAUCUCUGGAGCUCACCGCGGCCGGCGUGCAGGCCUGAACCAUCGCUCUCUGACAGCACGCUGCCCGACACAGAGACAACAAACCCGCUGGGCCCAUCAGGACACACUGGGGUCUUUGUUCAGGUCCGGUUUCCUCUUAUCUCGUUGGAUAUCUCGUCAGACAGGCGUGGGAGGGUGGGAGAGACGCAGCCUUCGAGGUGAAAGGUCUCUUUGUUCAAACUUUAAUGAAGAUCUUAUUUGCUCCUGAGUUUUUACACGAUGGAGUAGAUAAGAGGCCGGUGGGCAUUUUAAUACAAUCAUGACCAUCAGAAGCAUUGGCAGCGACAGAUUGAUGGUCAACACUCUAUUAAUCCCAAGGAAGGGGGGGAGGGAAUUCCCUUUUUGGAGCAUAGGAAUGAUCUGUUACAGAAUAUCUGAUUAUCUUCCAUAUCUGACUUUGGAGAUAAAGAAAUCCAGGCCAAGUUCUCAUGAAUGUUAGCCUACUAAUAAUAAUAUGGUAGUCCUUACAAUUAACAUGUGAACUACAUUCCUUUGUUGCACUCGGCCAGUGGGGCUGUUUGAGUCUAUCUCUAAAAGGCAAAUUCUACUGAAACUCAAACACAGAGCAUGCGCUUGUAGAGUUUCCAGUUUUCGGGUAAAACCCCCCAAAUGAUUAGCCUCCAAUGUCAUGUGAUAUUUACACAGAAUAGACUGUUUGACUCCCGCAGGCAAAACACUUCCAUAAAAACAGCCUCGUCAAACCCACACUUCCUAUACACUAAACCUGGGGAGAUCUCUUUGUCUUUUUUUUUUCCCCACACAGGAUGUGAAGGAAGUGGUGGCCAAUGGAGAGUGGAAGAAGAAGAACGGGCUGGUUCACAGGGAAAGGCCAGUGGGA